rnacentral:pre_miRNA from 1 species
CGGCGCCUUUUUCCCUCUCCGUGCGCGCUCGCCGGCCGGCGAGGAUGGAUGCCGGGAGGGAGAGACAAGAGGC